rnacentral:rRNA from 1 species
UGAGUAAUCUGCCCUUGGCUUUGGGAUAACUACCGGAAACGGUGGCUAAUACCGGAUACGACCGAUCCCUGCAUGGGGUGUUGGUGGAAAGUUUUUUCGGCCAGGGAUGUGCUCGCGGCCUAUCGGCUUGUUGGUGGGGUAAUGGCCUACCAAGGCUUCGACGGGUAGCCGGCCUGAGAGGGUGACCGGCCACACUGGGACUGAGACACGGCCCAGACUCCUACGGGAG